CCCUUAGAUGUCCUGGGCCGCACGCGCGCUACACUGAUGCAUUCAACGAGUUUUACCUUGGCCGAGAGGCCUGGGCAAUCUUUUAAACCUGCAUCGUGAUAGGGAUAGAUUAUUGCAAUUAUUAAUCUUGAACGAGGAAUUCCUAGUAAACGCAAAUCAUCAAUUUGCAUUGAUUACGUCCCUGCCCUUUGUACACACCGCCCGUCGCACCUACCGAUUGAAUGGUCCGGCGAAGCCUCGGGAUUGUGGCCAGUUCACUUUAUUGGGAGUUGGCUGUGAGAACUUGUCUAAACCUUAUCAUUUAGAGGAAGGUGAAGUCGUAACA
rnacentral:rRNA from 1 species